CGCCUACAGAAAGUGGGGAAAGGUCACGGCUACCGGGCAGCUGAGUCUGUUGUCAGUCCCUCCCUUCCUCCACCCUGCCUCCCGUCCCUUAUCUGGACUUUCUUGGGGCUGGUCGGGAGCAAAAGGGCGCACGCGGUGAAGUCAGGUCCUGAAAUCACCGGGGGAUUUUUUUUUGCGGAGGAGAAGGUGGAAGGAAAGAACAGUGAGCAGACUCUGGCUCCAGCACCAAUGGCUUCAGCCAGAGGCCAAGGCAGCCUCGGUGACACUUCCUCAAAGUGAAAGCGAAAGCCAAGUAGGCGGAGAGGACUGACAGGGCCAGGCGGUCGGCCAGGCAGGCGUGUUUGGAGCCCCUUCUCCAGCCCGGACCUGGCCGGCGCGGGGCACGAGGAGGGGCGGCCCGGGAGGAGGGCCUGAGAGCAGCCCCCAUGGGCUCCGAGGGGUGGUGCUUGCUGGUCUGCUUGGCUCUCUCCGGGGCAGCAGACGCCGUAGAAAGGCAGUGGCGGGCAGUGGACGUGAUCUUGGACUGCUUCCUGAUGGGGGAAGGUGGGCACCGUGGAGGUUUCGCCAUCAGUGAGAACAUGGUGAAGGCCUUGUUGGUGCUGAAGCAGGUGCCAGUGCCGGACGACGGCUCCCUGGAAGGCCUCACGGAUUUCCAAGGGGGCACACUGGCCGAGGACGACCCACUCAUUACCUUCGAGGCCUCAGUGAACCUGAUACAGAUUCCCCAGGCCAAGGCCUUGCUCCAUGCUGACUGCAGCGGCAAAGAGGUGACCUGUGAGAUCUCCCGCUAUUUUCUCCAGGCCAGGCCAAAGGCCACGGUGGAGACGGCAGCCUGGUUCAUCACUAACGUGGUAGUGUCUGGAGAGGGACCUAGUAUCUCCAUGGUGAUGAAGACCCUUGGGGAUGCUGAGAAUGGGGCUGUCUUGCAUCCCAUGCUGAAACUGCCCCUGAGCCCCCAAGGGACUGUGCGGACUGAAGUGGAGUUCCAGGUGACAACACAGACCCCGUCCCUGAAUCUCCUGCUGGGGUCCUCAGCCUCCCUGCACUGUGGCUUCUCCAUGGCACCAGGCUUGGGCAUCACCAGCGUGGAGUGGCGGCUGCAGCAUAAGGGCAGUGGCCACCUGGUGUACCGCUGGACCACGGGGCAGGGGCAGGCCAAGCGGGAGGGCGCCACCCUGGAGCCUCAGCAGCUGCUCACGGCUGGGGACGCCUCCCUCACCCUACCCAGCCUCACUCUGAAGGAUGAGGGGACCUACAUCUGCGAGAUCACAACCUCCCUGUACCGAGCUCAACAGAUCAUCCAGCUCGACGUCCAAGUUACCUGUGGGAAUCGUACCCCCUUAUGUCGUGCAUCCAGGUGGACCCCUCACCACCACUGUCCCCCCGCCGCCUGGCGCCUCACUGAGGAGGGAACUUCCGCCUCCACAACCUGCUCUUAUGUGCAGCAGGAGAAGGCUCUAGGCUCCUCUGCUGCCCCGGUGAUGCCUGUGGGAUUUUACUUCUCCUCCUCUCUUCCAGCUGCCCCCAAAGUACUACUGAGCUUGGCGAGCGAAGCUCUGCCGCCCACCCUCCUCUGCAGUGUCACUGGCUAUUACCCUCUGGAUGUGACGGUGACGUGGAUCCGGGAGGAGCUGGGUGGAGCCCCGGCCCCAGUCUCUGGCGCCUCCUUCUCCAGCCUCCGGCAGAGCAUGGCAGGCACCUACAGCAUCUCCUCCUCCCUGACGGCAGAGCCUGGCUCUGUGGGUGCCACUUACACCUGCCAAGUCACCCACGUCUCCCUGGAGGAGCCCCUGGGGGCCAACACCUGGGUUGCCCCACCAGGUAUGGGAGUGCCCUCCUUUCCCCACCACCACACCUGGGCUCACGGCUCCUGCCCUCUGGCCUUGUUCUGCUUCCCACAGUGUCGGCUGCUUCUUUCCCAAGGUGACAGCCUCCAGAGGUCCCACCCCGUCCUCCAAGGCUUUAUUACCCCCCGAGUUCUGGGGUACCAGGCACUACUGAGAGCUGGAGACCAAGGCUGAACAAUUCCUCAUCCUGCCCUCGAGGAGCUUAGCCCAGUGGGAGGGACAGACUAGGCAGUCAGGGAAGAUGACCCGGGGGAGGCCUGCAAGCCGGCUGAGCUGGGUCAGGGGCAGGGAACACCAGGACCGAAGGGACGUCAUGUGUGAAGGCCUCAUUAUAAAACAGGCUAGAAAGAACUGGGGGGCCUACACGGCUAGAGGCAAGGGUGCGUGGGGAAAGGGGGCUGUGGCCGUGAAGCUUGAGAGGUGAUGGUGUUCACUGAGCGUCUGCGUCAAGCCAGCAGGGCACUGAGCCCUCAAAUGUGGGCCUCCACAGGUCCUCACUCCCCCAUCUUAGAGGUAACUGAUACUUGCAGAGGUUCGGUAAUUUGCCCAAGGUCACCUGCCUAGGAAAUGGUAAAACAGAAAAUGUGGAAAAUAGGCAGGCGAUUCCCCUACAGCCUCAACCCCCCUCCUGCUACUGAUGGACAGAUAACAACAGGCCUUCAAGCUGGAACUUCAUCCCGAGGCCACAGAAUGUCUUCGAAAGGUCCUAUACCAUAAAGAGUCGGCACCUCGAAAUGCCUUACUUGGUGGCUCAUGAGACUGUAAGCUUCCCCGAAACUGGGGUUUUGCCUCAGCUUACAUCAUUCCCAGUUGUUUACACAAUUCCAGUUUAACUAUCACCAGCUAAUCUAAACUAAAUCUCCCAAGCCGUUUGAAAAAAGGUUGUCCUGAGGUGGGAAGAGGUAGAGGAUUCCGUGUGGAGUGACACACGGACGUCCACCGAGCAGGCCCCAGCGCCACCGUGUGCUGGUCCCUGGGUGAGAGCGGGAAAACACCUGAUGGGAGCUCCUCAACCAGGGACGGUUGAACGCAGGCGCGCGCGCCCUGUCCUUCCUGCCGGGGCAGACGCUGCACGUGAGGGCUCAGUAUGGUUCCCGCCACUGAUCCCCGUCCACACCUCUGUCCCCUACAGAGCAGAGGACGGCCUUUGGAGUCCUUUUUGCCAGCAGCCUCUUCCUCCUGGCACUGCUGUUCCUGGGACUGCAGAGACGCCAAGCUACCUCACCAAGGCCUGCCAGGACCCCGAGGCACUCCGGGUAGCCACUCUGCUGCCUUAGAUAUAAGAGAGAGUCACAUUCUCCCAGAAGGACUCUAAGCUGAGUCCCAGAGCUCAAAGAGGCCCCGAGAAAGAUACGAAGAAGGCACAGAUCACUGACUGGCUCUGGAUUUCUGCAGGCCUCUGCCUUCCUUCACUGCAUGCCCUGGGCUGAUACACCCAAGGGAGAAAGCGUGAAGAGGUGAGAGGGUGGCAGGAAGGCAGGAGGUCUGGGUGGAGGUUAAAACAUGAGCCAGGUUUGAGGCGCGGUGGUAGGAACAUACAGCAGAAAAAAAUUAAGAAAGGAGCGGAUGAGGGACAGUGGAACAGGAUGGGGGUUGGAGGGCCACGAACAAUCGUUGAACUCUGUCCCAGUAAAAGCCCUCAUGUCCUCGGAAGCAAAGCUUUUCCACUUUCCUGUCUCUCCCCACACUGGGGCCCACCCCGCCCCGCCGCUUGGCUGGCAAAGUGCUUGAGGUGUGAAACGAAGACCCUCAGAGGCGGCCCUGGGGCCCCCCCUCAGUCGCUCAGGGUAACCUUGAGCUGCCGUUAAGCUCCUGUACCUGUGGACAACUGCUGGGCAUUUCAGGACACCUGCACACACCCCUGCCUCGGCCGCAGGGGACAGAGCUCUCCUUUCAGCCAUUUUCAAACGGGCCUGGUCAGCACAGUGGGACUUGGCAGAAGAUGGCUAUGCAUGGGGACGGUGGGGAGCAGAGCGUGUCCCCUGGGGGCCUCCUCAGGGCCUGGCCCAGGACCUGGAGGGAGGAGGCGGCAGAUGUCUAAGAAGAUCUGCGGGUGUCUGUCCGUGAGAUGCCCGCUCAGCUUCCUGCCGUGGCUUCCUGUCACCCACACCUGAAGAGCUGGGCUGCUUCGGGCACGGAGGCUGAGAGCAGAGAUCACUUCCUCUGCCAGCACCCAGCUGUGGACUCUCGAGAAGACCGACAGCACCCGAAAGCCACCCUUCCGGCGCAGGGCACCAUCAGAAAGGAACUAGAGAGAAACAAGACGCCUCCGCCCCGCUGCAGUCACCCCAACCCAAACAACAGCCAAGUCGGUUUAGUGGUAGGAAGUUGUAUUUUUGUUUUGCCUUUGUUCAGAAUACAGGAAAUUGGUAAAUACGC